rnacentral:rRNA from 1 species
AUGAGAUGUGCGGCACAUAUUGUCAACCUUAUUGUACAAGAUGGCCUAAAAGAAGUUGAACUUUCAAUCAAACGUGUCCGAGCUGCUGUGCGAUACAUCAAGAAUGGGACUUCUCGGUUGGUAAAAUUCAAAGAGCUAGCAUUGGAAGAAAAAGUUAAGAGCAAAGCAUUCUUGAACCUAGAUGUAUGCACUCGGUGGAACUCAACUUACAUAAUGUUGAAGGCUGCCAUCACCUACGCGAAGGUGUUUACAAGGUACUGUGAGGAUGACCCAUUGUAUGCGUUGGACUUGUCUGAAGAAAAAGGAGGAUUUGGGUAUCCAGAUGAAAUGGAUUGGGAAAAUGCUAGGAAAAUGGCUGCCUUUCUUGCUCAUUUUUAUGAUCUUACUGUUCGUGUGUCAUCCUCACUUCAUGUCACUUCCAACAACUUUCUUUUCGAGGUUGGCACUAUACACAUAUUGGUUCAAAAUUGGAUGAGCAGUACAGAUCCUUUGCAAAAAGCUAUGGCAGAGAGGAUGAAAGAAAAGUUUGACAAAUACUGGGGGUCUUGGCAUGAGAAUGAAAAGGUGAAGGAUAAGGGUCCUAUUGUAAAUGAAAGAGGGAAAGGGAAGAAGAAGGAGAAGGAGGAGAAGGAGAAGGAAAAUCUCAACUUGCUCAUUUUUAUUGCUGCAGCUCUUGAUCCAAGGUAUAAGCUUUCUGAUUUCACUAGGCUCACUACUUUGGAAAUAUUUGGUGUUGAGUCUGGAGAGAAGGUGUGGUAUGCUGUCAACAAAUGUGUUCGCGAGUUGUUUGAAGAAUACCGAGUAAGAUUGACUACACCAGAACCAACAACACCAGCCAUUAGCCAAGUAACAAUAGAAGGAGGAGGAGCAAGUAUGAUGAAGGAACUAAUUGCAAGUAGGUUGAGGCAAAAUAAUAGUGGAGGAAGUGCAAGUAGUAAAUCUGAGCUUGAAAAAUACCUUGCUGAAGACUCUGAAGACCCUGACAAAAAAAUUGACAUCCUAGGAUGGUGGAAAGAGAAUUCAUAUAGGUUUCCAAUCUUGGCAAAUAUGGCUCGUGAUAUUCUUGCUAUCCCCAUUACAACUGUGGCUUCUGAGUCUGCCUUUAGCACAAGUGGACGCAUACUUGAUGACUUUAGGACAUCUCUAACUCCGUUUAUGGUGCAAGCUUUAGUUUGUACGCAAGACUGGCUGAGAAGGUCAACAGAUCCGGUCGACAUCAAGGAGAACUUGGAAGAAUUAGAAGUGCUAGAAAAAGAGUUGAUUGAAGAAUUUGGUGACAAGGUGAAGGGAAAGCGCAAGUUCAAUGGUGAUGGUGUUGCUUCUUCCAUGGCCAAGUCAAACAAGUGUGCAAGUCGACCAACAAAGUGA